rnacentral:misc_RNA from 1 species
GCCUAGCUACAUAGUGUAAAUAUUAUUUUUUUUUAAACUCUAACACUGUCUGAUUUACACAUUACAUACUGUGAGCUGGCUGGUAAACGAGCAGCCUGGAGGAUUUAGUUUGUGGUAGUAGUUAGAGCUCUAGACUCUAUUAAACGAACAGGACUUUUGAGCACACAGGAAGUGUUUGAGAAUUUAGUUCAGUUUGUGAUAGAUAGAUAGAUAGAUAGAU